rnacentral:misc_RNA from 1 species
AAACCUUCAAGCUCUGCUUGGUGUUGGGUGUUUGUCUCUACCUUUGUGUACGGACUCGCCUUAAAUAUAUUGGCAGCUGGUAGGUUAGCUUCAUGCGCAGCACAUUGCGUAGCGGCUCUAGCCUAUCCCCUUCCAUUAAGCUUCUCUUUUCU